rnacentral:rRNA from 1 species
GAUGAACGCUGGCGGCGUGCCCAAUACAUGCAAGUCGAGCGAACGGACGAGAAGCUUGCUUUUCUGAUGUUAGCGGCGGACGGGUGAGUAACACGUGGAUAACCUACCUAUAAGACUGGGAUAACUUCGGGAAACCGGAGCUAAUACCGGAUAAUAUUUUGAACCGCAUGGUUCAAAAGUGAAAGACGGUCUUGCUGUCACUUAUAGAUGGAUCCGCGCUGCAUUAGCUAGUUGGUAAGGUAACGGCUUACCAAGGCAACGAUGCAUAGCCGACCUGAGAGGGUGAUCGGCCACACUGGAACUGAGACACGGUCCAGACUCCUACGGGAGGCAGCAGUAGGGAAUCUUCCGCAAAGGGCGAAAGCCUGACGGAGCAACGCCGCGUGAGUGAUGAAGGUCUUCGGAUCGUAAAACUCUGUUAUUAGGGAAGCACAUAUGUGUAAGUAACUGUGCACAUCUUGACGGUACCUAAUCAGAAAGCCACGGCUAACUACGUG